UUCUUGGGUCUCAGUUCAGCGGUCCUAUGA
rnacentral:piRNA from 1 species